rnacentral:rRNA from 1 species
AUUGAACGCUGGCGGCAGGCCUAACACAUGCAAGUCGAACGGUAACAGGAAGCAGCUUGCUGCUUUGCUGACGAGUGGCGGACGGGUGAGUAAUGUCUGGGAAACUGCCUGAUGGAGGGGGAUAACUACUGGAAACGGUAGCUAAUACCGCAUAACGUCGCAAGACCAAAGUGGGGGACCUUCGGGCCUCUUGCCAUCGGCUGUGCCCAGAUGGGAUUAGCUAGUAGGUGGGGUAACGGCUUACCUAGGCGACGAUCCCUAGCUGGUCUGAGAGGAUGACCAGCCACACUGGAACUGAGACACGGUCCAGACUCCUACGGGAGGCAGCAGUGGGGAAUCUUGCACAAUGGGCGAAAGCCUGAUGCAGCCAUGCCGCGUGUAUGAAGAAGGCCUUCGGGUUGUAAAGUACUUUCAGCGGGGAGGAAGAGAGUAAAGUUAAUACCUUUACUCAUUGACGUUACCCGAAGAAGAAGCACCGGCUAACUCCGUG